CUCUGGAUUUUAUAAGUUCAGGGCAAAAGGAG
rnacentral:ncRNA from 1 species